rnacentral:rRNA from 1 species
AGAGUUGAUCAUGGCUCAGGAUAAACGCUGGCGGCGUGCUAAUACAUGCAAGUCGAACGGUAAGGCUUUCACAGAUUAUUUAACCGGGUAAGUCCCGCACCUUUUCCCCUUGAGGAAAAAAGGUGAGGGAUACUGCCUGCAAUAAUGUUCACUAGGCUAGUGAACCAUUGUUGAAUAAUGCGUGAAAGUACACGAGUGGCGGACGGCUGAGUAACGCGUAGGAAUGUACCCCAAAGUGAGGGAUAAGCACCAGAAAUGGUGUCUAAUACCGCAUAUGGUCUAAGGAUUAAAGCCUUCGGGCGCUUUGGGAACAGCCUGCGUAAGAUUAGCUAGUUGGUGAGGUAAUGGCUCACCAAGGCUACGAUCUUUAGCUGGUCUGAGAGGAUGAUCAGCCAGACUGGGACUGAGACACGGCCCAGACUCCUACGGGAGGCAGCAGUAGGGAAUUUUCCACAAUGGGCGAAAGCCUGAUGGAGCAACGCCGCGUGCAGGAUGAAGGCCUUCGGGUCGUAAACUGCUUUUAUUUGU